rnacentral:rRNA from 1 species
GAUGACGCUGGCGGCGUGCCUAAUACAUGCAAGUCGAGCGAGAGGCGGACGGGUGAGUAACACGUGAGAACCUACCUAUAAGACGGGGAAAACUUACGGAAACCGUAGCUAAUAACGGAUACUGUGAGAUGGAUCCGCUUUGCAUUAGCUAGGUGGUAAGGUAACGGCUUACCAAGGCAACGAUGCAUAGCCGACCUGAGAGGAUGACCAGCCACACUGGAACUGAGACACGGUCCAGACUCCUACGGGAGGCAGCAGUGGGGAAUAUUGCACAAUGGGCGCAAGCCUGAUGCAGCCAUGCCGCGUGUAUGAAGAAGGCCUUCGGGUUGUAAAGUACUUUCAGCGGGGAGGCGUUACCCGCAGAAGAAGCACCGGCUAACUCCGUGCCAGCAGCCGCGGUAAUAC